UACGAAGGGUGCAAGCGUUACUCGGAAUUACUGGGCGUAAAGCGUGCGUAGGUGGUUGUUUAAGUCUGUUGUGAAAGCCCUGGGCUCAACCUGGGAACUGCAGUGGAAACUGGACAACUAGAGUGUGGUAGAGGGUAGCGGAAUUCCCGGUGUAGCAGUGAAAUGCGCAGAUAUCAGGAAGAACACCCGUGGCGAAGGCGGCUCUCUGGAACGCAACUGACGCUGAGACGCGAAAGCGUGGGGAGCGAACAGG
rnacentral:rRNA from 1 species